AGUGAACGCUGGCGGUAGGCCUAACACAUGCAAGUCGAACGGCAGCACAGUAAGAGCUUGCUCUUACGGGUGGCGAGUGGCGGACGGGUGAGGAAUACAUCGGAAUCUACUUUUUCGUGGGGGAUAACGUAGGGAAACUUACGCUAAUACCGCAUACGACCUACGGGUGAAAGCAGGGGAUCUUCGGACCUUGCGCGAUUGAAUGAGCCGAUGUCGGAUUAGCUAGUUGGCGGGGUAAAGGCCCACCAAGGCGACGAUCCGUAGCUGGUCUGAGAGGAUGGUCAGCCACACUAGAACUGAGACACGGUCCAGACUCCUACGGGAGGCAGCAGUGGGGAAUAUUGGACAAUGGGCGCAAGCCUGAUCCAGCCAUACCGCGUGGGUGAAGAAGGCCUUCGGGUUGUAAAGCCCUUUUGUUGGGGAAGAAAAGCAGCAGGUUAAUACCCCGCUGUUCUGACGGUACCCAAAGAAUAAGCACCGGCUAACUUCGUG
rnacentral:rRNA from 1 species